rnacentral:rRNA from 1 species
GACGAACGCUGGCGGCGUGCUUAACACAUGCAAGUCGAACGGAAAGGCCCUGCUUUUGUGGGGUGCUCGAGUGGCGAACGGGUGAGUAACACGUGAGUAACCUGCCCUUGACUUUGGGAUAACUUCAGGAAACUGGGGCUAAUACCGUAUCGGAGCUCCUGCUGCAUGGUGGGGGUUGGAAAGUUUCGGCGGUUGGGGAUGGACUCGCGGCUUAUCAGUUUGUUGGUGGGGUAGUGGCUUACCAAGGCUUUGACGGGUAGCCGGCCUGUGAGGGUGACCGGCCACAUUGGGACUGAGGGACGGCCCAGACUCCUACGUGAGGCAGCAGUGGGGAAUAUUGCACAAUGGGCGGAAGCCUGAUGCAGCAACGCCGCGUGCGGGAUGACGGCCUUCGGGGUGUAAACCGCUUUCGCCUGUGACGAAGCGGGAGUGACGGUAAUGAGUAAAGAAGCACCGGCUAACUACGUG